rnacentral:tRNA from 1 species
GGGGCCGUAGUCUAGCCAGGAUAAGGCACCAGCCUCCGGAGUUGGGUAUCCCCGGUUCAAAUCCGGGCGGUCCCGCCA